rnacentral:rRNA from 1 species
GACGAACGCUGGCGGCGUGCCUAAUACAUGCAAGUCGAGCGGACCGGAGGGAGCUUGCUCCCAAAGGUCAGCGGCGGACGGGUGAGUAACACGUGGGUAACCUGCCUGACAGACUGGGAUAACGCUUGGAAACGAGUGCUAAUACCGGAUAGGCUCUUUGACCGCAUGGUUGAAGAGGGAAAGAGGCUAUCGCCUCACUGUUAGAUGGACCCGCGGCGCAUUAGCUAGUUGGUGAGGUAACGGCUCACCAAGGCGACGAUGCGUAGCCGACCUGAGAGGGUGACCGGCCACACUGGGACUGAGACACGGCCCAGACUCCUACGGGAGGCAGCAGUAGGGAAUCUUCCACAAUGGGCGCAAGCCUGAUGGAGCAACGCCGCGUGAGUGAUGAAGGCCUUCGGGUUGUAAAACUCUGUCUUCUGUGACGAACAAGUGCGUGAGUGGAAAACUCGCACCCUGACGGUAACAGAGGAGGAAGCCACGGCUAACUACGUGCCAGCAGCCGCGGUAAUAC